GAUGAACGCUGGCGGCGUGCCUAAUACAUGCAAGUCGAGCGAAUGGAUUAAGAGCUUGCUCUUAUGAAGUUAGCGGCGGACGGGUGAGUAACACGUGGGUAACCUGCCCAUAAGACUGGGAUAACUCCGGGAAACCGGGGCUAAUACCGGAUAACAUUUUGAACCGCACGGUUCGAAAUUGAAAGGCGGCUUCAGCUGUCACUUAUGGAUGGACCCGGGUCGCAUUAGCUAGUUGGUGGGGUAACGGCUCACCAAGGCAACGAUGCGUAGCCGACCUGAGAGGGUGAUCGGCCACACUGGGACUGAGACACGGCCCAGACUCCUACGGGAGGCAGCAGUAGGGAAUCUUCCGCAAUGGACGAAAGUCUGACGGAGCAACGCCGCGUGAGUGAUGAGGGCUUUCGGGUCGUAAAACUCUGUUGUUAGGGAAGAACAAGUGCUAGUUGAAUAAGCUGGCACCUUGACGGUACCUAACCAGAAAGCCACGGCUAACUACGUGCCAGCCGCCGCAGUAA
rnacentral:rRNA from 1 species